AAGCUUCUGGCUCGGAUGGGACUUUAGCUCUAUGACCUGCUGGGUACUCAGAAAGCAGCCACAGAUAGCAUAGGAGUUCAAGGCAACAAUGGUGCGUGAACCACCACGGGUCAAGAGGAGCCGUUGAUCUGAUCUGAUCUCCGCUGUUCCCCCAUGGCUUUCGUGCAGACAUAGCUGGCAGCCUGAUGGUGGCGCUGUGGAAGCAGGCCCUUCACUGGGGUACUGGCAGACUGGUUGAAGAGUCUACCUACAGUGACACUCGCUCCCCAUCCAUGUCUAUUCAUCUAAAAAUCCUGAUGUCCCCUGGCUGUUGGCCUCCAGGCUGCUGGAUUUGGUCCCUUCUAUGACAACUUUACUGACAGACACCAGCCUUCUAACUACACAGAAGUCC
rnacentral:lncRNA from 1 species